UAUUUGUUAUCCAUCACUUCAAUCACUGAAAUGUUGUGAUCAAAUUUAAUUACAUCUUAGGGUUUUUCCAAAUUACAGCUUAAAAAAAUAAUCAGUUUUUUCUUUUUUUACAAAGCUGUGUAUGUCACCAAGAAAGUUCACUCAUGCUGCCUCAGCGCCUUCCCAUCGCGAGCUGCAGCGAUGCAGCCUGCAGAACAUGACCUCUCAGAGAACUAUUAUGCGUUAUGGGUAGUAUUGCAUCACUCUCCCGAAAAAAGGAAUUCAUAAAAAUAAAAGCAUUUCCAAGUCAAAUGCAUGAAACGUUCCUCACGGGAGCUCUUCCAUAAACGCAGCUUUGGGGGAAUGCCCGUAAUUGCUCUAUUACAUAUUCUUACGCUUGGAAAACUGAUUUCUCAAUCUGAAAAUAAAUCAAUCUGGGCUUUUUUGAGCAGUAAGGAUAGGCAGGAAAUAUGUUGGCUUUUGACGACGGUAAUAACUUUUGCACAUAAGUAACUUCUAGGUCUCUAACGUUUGCUGAGAACGGCCUUUACCUUAAAGCACGACCGCGCUCCAGCCAAGGGGACAACGUGACACACAAAGGAGGUGACCCCGCAGCGCGACAGAUCUGAAUGCACGGAAUACAGAUGGAGUGUCUCUGAGGGAUGCGGUCUGAGGAAUCACAAGUGAAGUUGACGUGAACUUGACGCAGCACCAAGCAUUUCCAUCCAAAUUUCAGUGGAAAUUCCAAGCAAAGCAGGCCGGAGGGGAGGCACGGCAGCACCAACCUUGGGAAGAGCAACUAUGCAUAUCGGUGGUAGCACACAAAUGCUGCCCAGCCCCUUCCAGGAGCACCUGGAGAUGUUUCCAGAAGGCUCUGCACGGACACGGCAUGCUGCUCGACCAAACCUGCCUGUUGUGAAGCGGAUUGCUAACGCAAGCCAAGUUCAUGGAAGGAGAAGCACUUAUUUAGUGCAAUUUAGCAGUCACCUGUGUACCUGGGAAAUCUGCUCGGUGCUAAAGGUUUGUCUGAGCCCUGGUUCUGCGGGAAUAAAUGAGGACACGUGCUGGGCAAGAGCAGCAAGAGGCAACCAGACCUGUGCUGAGCUAACCCUCCUUCCACCCAGUGCCCAAGAAAUGUAUCUGUGAAGAACUACUCAUACAACUGUGCUCACCAGCAAAGCUUCAGGAAGGUGACCACCUGAGAAGCUGCUCCUAGUGCCUAGCUCACCAACCAGAGAUAAGAUGGACAGCAAACAAACGGAAAAUCAAAGCCCUAAACACAGAAACCUUGACGUGUUCAAGACAGAUAAAACCAGCCAAGGAAGUAGGUAUGCACGCGUUUCUUUUGUGUACUCAUACAGAAAUAUAUAAAUAGAUACGUAUGUAGACUUCCAAGAUUACCAUUUGAGCCAAUUCUCACAAGUUCAGAACUUGCAUAUGUGGUGCUACGUAUAUGGUUUGUCCGUGCUCUUUCACGUUCAUUUUUUAUGCCGUUGUUUCUACCGGGAUCCAAUCACAAAACUAGUUUCUGUUACAUUUCCUUGCUGUAUUUAAUGAGUUUAGAAAUAUAUAUUUUAAGGAUCGCAGUGUAGAAUCACAAACCAUUUGUGACUCAAUGUGAAUCACCACAGAAGUGUGGGUUUGGGACGAUGCUCGGGGCAUAACCCGCUCCGUGCUCUGAUGCUCCUGGCACAGCCACCUCUCUGCAAACCUCUUA